rnacentral:rRNA from 1 species
CCUACGGGUGGCUGCAGUGGGGAAUAUUGCACAAUGGGGGAAACCCUGAUGCAGCAACGCCGCGUGAGUGAGGAAGUAUUUCGGUAUGUAAAGCUCUAUCAGCAGGGAAUAGAAAAGAAGGUACCUGAAAGAGAAGCCACGGCUAACUACGUGCGAGCAGCCGCGGUAAUACGUAGGGGGCAAGCGUGAUCCGGAUUUACUGGGUUUAAAGGGGUCGCAGAGGGCUGCGCAAGCCAGGAGUGAAAGCCCGGGGCCCAACCCCGGGACUGCUGUUGGAACUGGGCGGCUGGAGUGCAGGAGGGGCAGGCGGAAUGCGUGGUGUAGCGGUGAAAUGCGUAGAUAUCAGGAGGAACACCGGUGGCGAAGGCGGCCUGCUGGAGUGCGACUGACGUUGAGGCCCGAAAGCGUGGGGAGCAAACAGGAUUAGAUACCCCUGUAGUC